AACGAACGCUGGCGGCAGGCUUAACACAUGCAAGUCGAGCGGGGUGAGGUGCUUCGGUACUGAUCCUAGCGGCGGACGGGUGAGUAAUGCUUAGGAAUCUGCCAUUUAGUGGGGGACAACAUUCCGAAAGGAAUGCUAAUACCGCAUACGUCCUACGGGAGAAAGCAGGGGAUCUUAGGACCUUGCGCUAAAUGAUGAGCCUAAGUCGGAUUAGCUAGUUGGUGGGGUAAAGGCCUACCAAGGCGACGAUCUGUAGCGGGUCUGAGAGGAUGAUCCGCCACACUGGGACUGAGACACGGCCUAGACUCCUACGGGAGGCAGCAGUGGGGAAUAUUGGACAAUGGGCGGAAGCCUGAUCCAGCCAUGCCACGUGUGUGAAGAAGGCCUUUUGGUUGUAAAGCACUUUAAGCGAGGAGGAGGCUACCUAGAUUAAUACUCUGGGAUAGUGGACGUUACUCGCAGAAUAAGCACCGGCUAACUCUGUGCCAGCCGCCGCGGUAACAC
rnacentral:rRNA from 1 species